rnacentral:rRNA from 1 species
GGUGAACGCUGGCGGCAGGCCUAACACAUGCAAGUCGAGCGGCAGCGCGUCCGACCACCCUCGGGUGGUCGGAUGGCGGCGAGCGGCGGACGGGUGAGGAAUGCAUCGGAAUCUGCCUCGUUGUGGGGGAUAACGUAGGGAAACUUACGCUAAUACCGCAUACGACCUACGGGUGAAAGUGGGGGACCUUCGGGCCUCACGCGAUGAGAUGAGCCGAUGCCGGAUUAGCUAGUUGGCGGGGUAAAGGCCCACCAAGGCGACGAUCUGUAGCGGGUCUGAGAGGAUGAUCCGCCACACUGGGACUGAGACACGGCCCAGACUCCUACGGGAGGCAGCAGUGGGGAAUUUUGGACAAUGGGCGCAAGCCUGAUCCAGCCAUGCCGCGUGCGGGACGAAGGCC